rnacentral:rRNA from 1 species
ACAGCAGCAGCCACGGGAAUACGAAGGGGGCUAGCGUUGUUCGGAAUUACUGGGCGUAAAGCGCACGUAGGCGGACAUUUAAGUCAGGGGUGAAAUCCCGGGGCUCAACCCCGGAACUGCCUUUGAUACUGGGUGUCUAGAGUAUGGAAGAGGUGAGUGGAAUUCCGAGUGUAGAGGUGAAAUUCGUAGAUAUUCGGAGGAACACCAGUGGCGAAGGCGGCUCACUGGUCCAUUACUGACGCUGAGGUGCGAAAGCGUGGGGAGCAAACAGGAUUAGAUACCCCGGUAGUCCCUGUCUCUUAUAC